GACGAACGCUGGCGGCGUGCCUAACACAUGCAAGUCGAGCGGGGUUGAAGCGAGGGGUAACUCGGACUUCUACCUAGCGGCGGACGGGUGAGUAACACGUGGGCAACCUGCCUCAUAGAGGGGAAUAGCCUCCCGAAAGGGAGAUUAAUACCGCAUAAGAUUGUAGCUUCGCAUGAAGUAGCAAUUAAAGGAGCAAUCCGCUAUGAGAUGGGCCCGCGGCGCAUUAGCUAAUUGGUGAGGUAACAACUCACCAAGGCGACGAUGCGUAGCCGACCUGAGAGGGUGAUCGGCCACAUUGGGACUGAGACACGGCCCAGACUCCUACGGGAGGCAGCAGUGGGGAAUAUUGCACAAUGGGGAAAACCCUGAUGCAGCAACGCCGCGUGAGUGAUGACGGCCUUCGGUUGUAAGCUCUGUCUUCAGGACGGAUAAUGACGGUACCGUGAGGAGGAAGACCACGGCUAACUACGUGCCAGCAGCCGCGGU
rnacentral:rRNA from 1 species